rnacentral:misc_RNA from 1 species
ACACCCUCAAGCUCUGCUUGGUGUUGGGCGUCUGUCCCGCCUCCGCGCGCGGACUCGCCUCAAAGUCAUUGGCAGCGGUCUCGCCGGCUCCUCGCGCAGCACAUUUGCGCUUCUCGGUGCCCCGGCGGAUCGGCGUCCAGCAAGCUCUUUACG